rnacentral:rRNA from 1 species
UACCGCAUACGAUCUACGGAUAGAAAGGCGGGGGAUCGCAAGACCUCGCGCGAAGUGGAGCGGCCGAUAUCAGAUUAGGUAGUUGGUGGGGUAAAGGCUCACCAAGCCAACGAUCUGUAGCUGGUCUGAGAGGACGACCAGCCACACUGGAACUGAGACACGGUCCAGACUCCUACGGGAGGCAGCAGUGGGGAAUUUUGGACAAUGGGCGCAAGCCUGAUCCAGCCAUUCCGCGUGCAGGAUGAAGGCCUUCGGGUUGUAAACUGCUUUUGUACGGAACGUAACGGUCUGCCCUAAUACGGCAGGCUAAUGACGGUACCGUAAGAAUAAGCACCGGCUAACUACGUG